GGGGCUGUGGCUUAAUGGUAGAGCAUCCGCUUGCAGUGCAGAAGGUCCCAGGUUCAAUCCCUGGCAUCUCUA